GGUUGAAGCGUGCUUACCUACUGCAGAAGGAAGGCAAUGAAUGGUACCACUUCUGAUAAACUGAUGCAGCCAUUCCAGGGAGAAAAAUAUGUUCUUAACACAGCGUGACCAACUGGAUGUCUUCUAUAACCUGGCUACCGAUCUUCUCUGAAAAUCAUGCUGUCGAAUGAAGAUGCUGGACUCUAAAAGCCUCCGGACUUAAAAUGUUCUGAGUUCUUUUAUCAGUCUCCAUCAAAAUGCUGGCAUCCCUCAUUAUUGGAAGAUUAACCUCCAAGAUCAUUAAGCCAGACGAACCCCCAUUUGGGAAGAGGAAAUGUCUUCCUCCCCUACAGCAGCAACCACCUCAUGGCCCGAACAAUGCAUCCUUCUUCAACUGAACUGUUAGAAAGAAAAAUCCAUGCACCUUCAGAGUAGGAUGGAUUGUUCACAAAGUAAACAAACAGAGAUGAACUAAAAUACCCAUAUUUUGAUUUAAAUCCAACAAAUCUUUAUCAAAUGCAUGCUAUUGAACCCAACGUUAUAUUAUAUGCUGAGGAAGAAACAAUGAGACAUGGACCAAUCCUCAGAAGGCCCACAGUUUAGCUGUUGAAAAAAUAUAAUAGGAGGAGUAGGUUUCUUUCAGAAAAUGUUAACUUUGUUUAAAUAGUCCUUUCAAAAUAGGAAAACCGAGACUCUCACAAAAUGUAAAAUGAAUACACAUUACAGGUUUUACUUAACUCACUAAUUAAUGAGGUGUUAUGGACUGAACUGUUCCCUCUACAAAGCUAUGUGAAAGUCCUCACCUGCUCUCCUGUGAAUGUGACCUUACUUUGAAACAGGGUUGUGGCGAGUGUAACAUGAUUAAGAUGAGGUCUGAUUGGAUUAGAGUGGACCUUCAAUCACAUGCCCAGUGUCCUUAUAGGAAGGGUAUAUGAAGACCUAGGGACACAGACACAGUGGAAGGCCAUGUGACUAUGCAGGCCAAGACUGGAGUGGUCCAGCCGCAGGUUGGGG
rnacentral:lncRNA from 1 species